rnacentral:rRNA from 1 species
UACGAAGGGGGCUAGCGUUGUUCGGAAUUACUGGGCGUAAAGCGCACGUAGGCGGAUCGAUCAGUCAGGGGUGAAAUCCCAGGGCUCAACCCUGGAACUGCCUUUGAUACUGUCGAUCUGGAGUAUGGAAGAGGUGGAGGUGAAUUCCGAGUGUAGAGGUGAAAUUCGUAGAUAUUCGGAGGAACACCAGUGGCGAAGGCGGCUCACUGGUCCAUUACUGACGCUGAGGUGCGAAAGCGUGGGGAGCAAACAGG